rnacentral:lncRNA from 1 species
UAAAAUUCUGACUACUUUAUUUAUUGAACAUUUUCAUAGAUGCUACACUUUAUUGAUAAAGCUGGCAAAAAUAUAAAAUUGUUCUCUACUAAAUGGGUGUUGGUAGAUGGAUUAAUUGAAAAUAUAUACAUUUAUCAAAUUCUUUUUAGAAUUUUAGGGUUAUCAGUGUAUGAAAAUAAUUUUGUCUCCUUUUUAAAUUAAGUGACAAUUAACUGACACCUAAGUUAGAACUUUCCUUAAACAAAAAGUGCCUUUUAUUUCACAUUCUACCCUACU